AUUGAACGCUGGCGGCAUGCCUUACACAUGCAAGUCGAACGGCAGCACGGGAGCAAUCCUGGUGGCGAGCGGCGAACGGGUGAGUAAAGUAUCGGAACGUGCCCAGUCGUGGGGGAUAACGUAGCGAAAGUUACGCUAAUACCGCAUACGAUCUAUGGAUGAAAGCGGGGGAUCGCAAGACCUCGCGCGAUUGGAGCGGCCGAUAUCAGAUUAGGUAGGUGGUGGGGUAAAGGCCCACCAAGCCGACGAUCGGUAGCUGGUCUAAGAGGACGGCCGGCCACACUGGGACUGGGACACGGCCCAGACUCCUACGGGAGGCAGCAGUGGGGAAUUUUGGACAAUGGGCGAAAGCCUGAUCCAGCCAUGCCGCGUGCAGGAUGAAGGCCUUCGGGUUGUAAACUGCUUUUGUACGGAACGAAAAGGUUUGGCCUAAUAAGCUGAGCUCAUGACGGUACCGUAAGAAUAAGCACCGGCUAACUACGUGCCAGCCGCCGCCGUAA
rnacentral:rRNA from 1 species